rnacentral:lncRNA from 1 species
GGAGGACUAUCAUUCGAACCUAGCGUUAGUUACAUAAUAACGUACAUUUACAAAUGUUUACGCUCUUACUCAGUCUUAGUUCGAUUUUUUGAGGGCCAGAAUUUAUUACUGGCUAGAAAAUUCUUAAGAAAUAUUUUUGCCUUUCCUAAAUCAACCUCAAAGUCAAUCGAAUGUCUUGUUUACAAAUGUACUUCUCUACUACAACAUAAGUUUUAGGACUAAUAUGCAAAAUCUUGUAUUUGGAAGCCAGGAAACAAUGGGCUGGAUUUAUACCUGUGGAGGUCCUUAACUCUGUUCAAACUCAUAAUACAGUGGUCCCCCUCUCUAACGACUGACCUUACAGCCAGUCUAUCAAAGUCGUAUCUGCGGGGAUGUCGUUAGGAAGGGGACGGGCCAUGGGGCCAUUGCCUACAGUCAGCCAGUCAUCCUUAGCCAGAAUCAAUC